UACGUAGGGGGCAAGCGUUGUCCGGAAUUACUGGGCGUAAAGGGCGCGUAGGCGGUCAGCACAAGUCAGUUGUGAAAUCUCCGGGCUUAACUCGGAAAGGUCAACUGAUACUGUGCGACUAGAGUGCGGAAGGGGCAACUGGAAUUCUCGGUGUAGUGGUGAAAUGCGUAGAUAUCGAGAGGAACACCUGCGGCGAAGGCGGGUUGCUGGGCCGACACUGACGCUGAUGCGCGAAAGCCAGGGGAGCGAACGGG
rnacentral:rRNA from 1 species